rnacentral:rRNA from 1 species
AGAGCGAACGCUGGCGGCAGGCCUAAUACAUGCAAGUCGAACGGACCCUUCGGGGUUAGUGGCGGACGGGUGAGUAACACGUGGGAACGUGCCCUUUGGUUCGGAACAACUCAGGGAAACUUGAGCUAAUACCGAAUGUGCCCCCAUCCUUAAACAAGAUGGGUGGGAAAGAUUUAUCGCCAUUGGAGCGGCCCGCGUCUGAUUAGCUAGUUGGUGAGGUAAAGGCUCACCAAGGCGACGAUCAGUAGCUGGUCUGAGAGGAUGAUCAGCCACACUGGGACUGAGACACGGCCCAGACUCCUACGGGAGGCAGCAGUGGGGAAUAUUGGACAAUGGGCGCAAGCCUGAUCCAGCCAUGCCGCGUGAGUGAUGACGGCCUUAGGGUUGUAAAGCUCUUUCGCUAGGGACGAUAAUGACGGUACCUAGACAAGAACGCCCGGCUAACUCGUGCCAGCAGCCGC